GCCUCCUUAGCUCAGUUGGUAGAGCAUCAGUCCCAUAGAAUGUGUGCUGAGUGUCAUCAGUUCGAUCCUGAUAGGGGGCA